rnacentral:rRNA from 1 species
AAUCUGGGACAAUGGGCGAAAGGCCGAUGGAGCAACGCCGCGAGAGUGAAGAAGGUUUUCAGAUCGUAAAACUCUGUUGUAAGGGAAGAACAAGUACAGUAGUAACUGGCUGUACCUUGACGGUACCUUAUGAGAAAGCCACCGCUAACUACGUGCCAGCAGCCACGGUAAUACGUAGGUGGCAAGCGUUGUCCGGAAUUAUUGGGCGUAAAGCGCGCGCAGUCGGUCCUUUAAGUCUGAUGUGAAAGCCCACGGCUCAACCGUGGAGGGUCAUUGGAAACUGGGGGACUUGAGUGCAGAAGAGGAAAGUGGAAUUCCAAGUGUAGCGGUGAAAUGCGUAGAGAUUUGGAGGAACACCAGUGGCGAAGGCGACUUUCUGGUCUGUAACUGACGCUGAGGCGCGAAAGCGUGGGGAGCAAACA